rnacentral:rRNA from 1 species
UAGGACGGGGCCCGCACAAGCGGUGGAGUAUGUGGUUUAAUUCGAUGCAACGCGAAGAACCUUACCUGGUCUUGACACUCCCGGAGACCCUUAGGAAACUAGGGGGUGCUUCCAUCUGGAAGAAUCUGGAGACAGGUGCUGCAUGGCUGUCGUCAGCUCGUGUCGUGAGAUGUUGGGUUAAGUCCCGCAACGAGCGCAACCCUUGCCUUUAGUUGCCAGCAGUUCGGCUGGGCACUCUAAAGGGACUGCCGGUGUUAAACCGGAGGAAGGUGGGGAUGACGUCAAGUCCUCAUGGCCUUUAUGACCAGGGCUACACACGUACUACAAUGGCCGAUACAAAGGGCAGCGACACUGCGAGGUGAAGCCAAUCCCGUAAAAUCGGUCUCAGUCCGGAUUGGAGUCUGCAACUCGACUUCAUGAAGCUGGAAUCGCUAGUAAUCGUGGAUCAGCCAAGCCGCGGUGAAUACGUUCCCGGGCCUU